UAUCCUACGGGGGGCAGCAGUGGGGGAUAUUGCACAAUGGGGGGAACCCUGAUGCAGCGACGCCGCGUGGGUGAAGGAGCGUUUCGGCGCGUAAAGCCCUAUCGGCAGGGAAGAAGGAGGACGGUACCUGACUAAGAAGCCCCGGCUAACUACGUGCCAGCAGCCGCGGGAAUACGUAGGGGGCAAGCGUUAUCCGGAUUUACUGGGGGUAAAGGGAGCGUAGGCGGCGAUGCAAGUCAGAAGUGAAAGCCCGGGGCUCAACUCCGGGACUGCUUUUGAAACUGUGUUGCUAGAUUGCAGGAGAG
rnacentral:rRNA from 1 species